rnacentral:rRNA from 1 species
AACGAACGCUGGCGGCAUGCCUAAUACAUGCAAGUCGAACGAGAUCUUCGGAUCUAGUGGCGCACGGGUGCGUAACGCGUGGGAAUCUGCCCUUGGGUUCGGAAUAACUUCUGGAAACGGAAGCUAAUACCGGAUGAUGACGUAAGUCCAAAGAUUUAUCGCCCAAGGAUGAGCCCGCGUAGGAUUAGGUAGUUGGUGAGGUAAAGGCUCACCAAGCCGACGAUCCUUAGCUGGUCUGAGAGGAUGAUCAGCCACACUGGGACUGAGACACGGCCCAGACUCCUACGGGAGGCAGCAGUAGGGAAUAUUGGACAAUGGGCGAAAGCCUGAUCCAGCAAUGCCGCGUGAGUGAUGAAGGCCUUAGGGUUGUAAAGCUCUUUUACCCGGGAUGAUAAUGACAGUACCGGGAGAAUAAGCACCGGCUAACUCCGUG